rnacentral:tRNA from 1 species
CGGAAAGUAGCGCAGUCUGGUAGCGCGCCUGCUUCGGGAGCAGGAGGUCAGGGGUUCGAACCCCCUCUUUCCGACCA